rnacentral:rRNA from 1 species
GGUUAAGUGACUAAGCGUACAUGGUGGAUGCCUUGGCAGUCAGAGGCGAUGAAGGACGUACUAACCUGCGAUAAGCCGUGAGCAGUCGGUAAGAGACAUUACGACUCACGGAUUUCCGAAUGGGGAAACCCACUUAGCAUAAGCUAGGUAUCGCUGCGUGAAUAUAUAGCGUAGCGAGGCGAACCGGGAGAACUGAAACAUCUAAGUACCCCGAGGAAAAGAAAUCAACCGAGAUUCCCUCAGUAGCGGCGAGCGAACGGGGAUUAGCCCUUAAGCAUCUUGGAAGUUAGUGGAACGGUCCUGGAAAGGCCGGCGAUACAGGGUGAUAGCCCCGUACACGAAAACAACCUUGAUGUGAAAUCGAGUAGGGCGGGACACGUGACAUCCUGUCUGAAUAUGGGGGGACCAUCCUCCAAGGCUAAAUACUCCUGACUGACCGAUAGUGAACCAGUACCGUGAGGGAAAGGCGAAAAGAACCCCUGUGAGGGGAGUGAAAUAGAACCUGAAACCGUGUACGUACAAGCAGUGGGAGCCCUUCGGGGUGACUGCGUACCUUUUGUAUAAUGGGUCAGCGACUUACAUUUUGUAGCGAGGUUAACCGUAUAGGGGAGCCGUAGGGAAACCGAGUCUUAACUGGGCGUCUAGUUGCAAGGUGUAGACCCGAAACCGGGUGAUCUAGCCAUGGGCAGGUUGAAGGUUGAGUAACAUCAACUGGAGGACCGAACCCACUAACGUUGCAAAGUUAGGGGAUGACCUGUGGCUGGGGGUGAAAGGCCAAUCAAACUCGGAGAUAGCUGGUUCUCCCCGAAAGCUAUUUAGGUAGCGCCUCGGACGAAUACUACUGGGGGUAGAGCACUGUUUGGGCUAGGGGGUCAUCCCGACUUACCAACCCCAUGCAAACUCCGAAUACCAGUAAGUAAUAUCCGGGAGACACACGGCGGGUGCUAACGUCCGUCGUGAAGAGGGAAACAACCCAGACCGCCGGCUAAGGUCCCAAAGUUCUGGUUAAGUGGGAAACGAUGUGGGAAGGCUCAGACAGCUAGGAUGUUGGCUUAGAAGCAGCCAUCAUUUAAAGAAAGCGUAAUAGCUCACUAGUCGAGUCGGCCUGCGCGGAAGAUGUAACGGGGCUCAAACCAGGCACCGAAGCCGCGGAUUCACACUAAGUGUGAGUGGUAGGGGAGCGUUCUGUAAGUCUGCGAAGGUGUGUCGAGAGGCAUGCUGGAGAUAUCAGAAGUGCGAAUGCUGACGUAAGUAACGAUAAAGGGGGUGAAAAGCCUCCUCGCCGGAAGACCAAGGGUUCCUGUCCAACGUUAAUCGGGGCAGGGUGAGUCGACCCCUAAGGCGAGGCCGAAAGGCGUAGUCGAUGGGAAGCAGGUUAAUAUUCCUGCACGACUUGUAAUUGCGAUGGGGGGACGGAGAAGGCUAGGUGGGCCAGGCGACGGUUGUCCUGGUGAAAGUGCGUAGGUGGUGUUUCUAGGCAAAUCCGGAGACACAACACUGAGACACGAGACGAACACACUACGGUGUGGAAGCCAUUGAUGCCCUGCUUCCAGGAAAAGCCUCUAAGCUUCAGAUUACAAGUCAUCGUACCCCAAACCGACACAGGUGGUCGGGUAGAGAAUACCAAGGCGCUUGAGAGAACUCGGGUGAAGGAACUAGGCAAAAUAGAACCGUAACUUCGGGAGAAGGUUCGCUCUUGACAGUGAAGUCCCUUGCGGAUGGAGCAGUUGGGAGUCGCAGUGACCAGAUGGCUGGGACUGUUUAUCAAAAACACAGCACUCUGCAAACACGAAAGUGGACGUAUAGGGUGUGACACCUGCCCGGUGCCGGAAGGUUAAUUGAUGGGGUUAGCGCAAGCGAAGCUCUUGAUCGAAGCCCCGGUAAACGGCGGCCGUAACUAUAACGGUCCUAAGGUAGCGAAAUUCCUUGUCGGGUAAGUUCCGACCUGCACGAAUGGUGUAACCAUGGCCAUGCUGUCUCCACCCGAGACUCAGUGAAAUCGAAUUCGCCGUGAAGAUGCGGUGUACCCGCGGCUAGACGGAAAGACCCCGUGAACCUUUACUACAGCUUGGCACUGAACAUUGAACCUACAUGUGUAGGAUAGGUGGGAGGCUUUGAAGGCGUGACGCCAGUUGCGCUGGAGCCGUCCUUGAAAUACCACCCUUGUAUGUUUGAUGUUCUAACGCAGGCCCAUGAAUCUGGGUCGCGGACAGUGCCUGGUGGGUAGUUUGACUGGGGCGGUCUCCUCCCAAAGAGUAACGGAGGAGCACGAAGGUUGGCUAAUCCUGGUCGGACAUCAGGAGGUUAGUGCAAUGGCAUAAGCCAGCUUAACUGCGAGACGGACAGGUCGAGCAGGUACGAAAGUAGGUCAUAGUGAUCCGGUGGUUCUGAAUGGAAGGGCCAUCGCUCAACGGAUAAAAGGUACUCCGGGGAUAACAGGCUGAUACCGCCCAAGAGUUCAUAUCGACGGCGGUGUUUGGCACCUCGAUGUCGGCUCAUCACAUCCUGGGGCUGAAGUCGGUCCCAAGGGUAUGGCUGUUCGCCAUUUAAAGUGGUACGCGAGCUGGGUUCAGAACGUCGUGAGACAGUUCGGUCCCUAUCUGCCGUGGGCGUUGGAUGAUUGAAGGGAGUUGCUCCUAGUACGAGAGGACCGGAGUGAACGAACCUCUGGUGUUCGGGUUGUCACGCCAGUGGCACUGCCCGGUAGCUAAGUUCGGAAUCGAUAACCGCUGAAAGCAUCUAAGCGGGAAGCGAGCCCUGAGAUGAGUCAUCCCUGACCCCUUGAGGGUCCUAAAGGGCCGUUGGAGACCACAACGUUGAUAGGUGGGGUGUGUAAGCGCGGCGACGUGUUGAGCUAACCCAUACUAAUUACCCGUGAGGCUUAACCAU